rnacentral:rRNA from 1 species
AGGAUUCCCCUAGUAACGGCGAGUGAAGUGGGAAAAGCUCAACUUUAAAAUCUGGCAGCUUCGCUGUCCGAGUUGUAGUCUCGAGAAGUGUUUUCCGCGCUGGAUCGUGUAUGAGUCUGUUGGAAUACAGCGUCAUAGAGGGUGAGAACCCCGUUCAUGACACGACUACCAGUGCUUUGUGAUACACUUUCGAUGAGUCGAGUUGUUUGGGAAUGCAGCUCAAAAUGGGUGGUAAAUUCCAUCUAAAGCUAAAUAUUGGCGAGAGACCGAUAGCAAACAAGUACCGUGAGGGAAAGAUGAAAAGCACUUUGGAAAGAGAGUUAACAGUACGUGAAAUUGUCGAAAGGGAAACGCUUGAAGUCAGACGUGCGCGGUGCGAUUCAGCCUUGGUUCGCCAGGGUGUACUUCGUACCAUUGCAGGCCAGCAUCGGUUUUGUGAGCCGGAUAAAGGUUAGAGGAAGGUAGCGGUCCAGGCCGUGUUAUAGCCUCUAACUGAAUACGGAUUGUGAGACCGAGGGACGCAGCGCGCCGCAAGGCAAAGGGUCCGCCCUUUUCGCGCUCAGGAUGCUGGUGAAAUGGCUUUAA